CCUAUCUAUUAGGAGUGACGGGCGAUUUGUGCAUGGAAUAUAACUUUUCAAUUUAGCUUUGUACUUUAUUUUUUUUUCACAAAUCCUUUUUAUUUUUAUUCUAGUCUAGACUUAUAUUUUUUUUUAGCAUUACACCUUCUCCUUUUUAUAUUUUUUGUCUUGAUUUGCUUUGUGCCUUUUGUGUUAUUAAGUUCAUUUUUUACUGGUCUCAGUACAAUGAUAUAAAAAAUUCUAACAAAGGUUUAUUUAAUUGUGGGUUGUCUAUUACGAGGCAAAAUUCUCUGUCUGGAGUUUCCACCGCCAUUUUAAUUAGAUUUGUUUUAAUUAUUUAAUUCCCAUUUUUAUUUUAAAG
rnacentral:rRNA from 1 species